CUCCAUAUGGGGCUCGGCGAGGCCCCAUAAAGGCGCCGGUCCGCUCGCCCAUCGCCUCCAUCGCUCCAUCCCCGCCCGGCCAUGCCCCCGCCGCCCGCCCUGCCCUGGCUGCUGGCCGCCUGCUGCCUCUGCGCCCUGCCGCGGGGCUCAGGCUUCCCGCAGCCUUUCUCUCGCCACCGGGACGCUGUGGAGCUGCCCCCGAACCAGCAACUGGCGCUGUGUUUCAGUCAGUGGAUGGAAAUGUCCGAUCAACCCCAGAUCUCGAGCACUGUUUUGGAUCUCUGUUAUUCCAUAUUCAACAGCAUGCAUAAAAAUGAGGAAUCACAGAUUGCUUCUGCAAACCUUGCAAAGAAGGUAUGUAAAUAUGAAGACAAGCAGUGGCAGUAGCAGUGGAUAGGGAAGAUAGUCAUGGAACUCUGGGACGGCCUUUCUUCCUUUUCAGGCCUCGAAAUGGAAGAACUAUUGAAGGCAGUGAAUAUCGUGGAAUGUGAAGUUCAUGGAUUCAUUUACCAGCUCAAUGACUUGGUUUACAUAAAGGAAAGAGACUUCCCAUUGCACUGGUUGUCUAUUUUGUGACUCAGUUGUCUGGAAUUUGCUGUUCCAUGUAAUAAAUUUGCAAUCAGUAA